UGUAAAGAAUUGGCGAUAAUGAUGAACUGCUUAGCUGUGAAGGGGUGGUUACAAACCAAGUGAGGAAAUGUUUGCAUAAAUCCUAUGUAGGCAGAUUCUCACCUAGAAAAAGCCAGCGUUUCUGCCAAAAUAUUCAGAAUCCCUCUGGCAUCCACCACAAGACAAUUGUCAGACUUGAUUGGUCCAGCAGGGAAAGGCUUUUGCUUUAAUUUCUGUGUGUUUGGUGCCAGCAUAUUUCCCUGACAGUGAUGUGAGAGGUGACCGGAUGAGUUCAUUGACCGUGCAGAUGCCUACGCAGGGAAUCUUUUUCCUUCUUCUUCGGCAGAGAAGUAGUAUGGGCCUGGAAGCAAGGAGGAUGUAGCUUUCCGUUUAUGGGUGCUGCUUUACAUGCCAGUGCCAGAGUCUCUCAUCUCCAGGAAGCAAACAGAGUACUGCUCUGAAUAAAUAUUUCAUUUAUUCAGAAGACUUCCUGAAGAAAAACAGAUUUUCAUGAUGGAAGGCCACUAGAAGAAAAUCCAGUGAAGAACAUGACUUUUACUAAACGACACUUCUGGACAUUUCCAGAUACUGGGUUUGGGUUCCCUGUGAGCAUAACUGAAGCCUUUAAUGUCAGCUUCCUCCAAUUUACUCUGGGUUUUGAGCUGCUGCACUGACUCCUGAAGAGCUGGUCUUUGUGCCUCCAUUCUAUUUUAACUCAACUGAUGAAACUUAGCCAACUCUGCUGUGUAACCCGGCCCCAGACUAAAUAUUUCAUCUCCCAGUGCUUCAAAAUUUCCUGAUUUGAAUUCCCAUGGACUGACUCUCCCUUCAGCAUAAGAACAGGACAACUUGGACAAUAUAUCUAAGUAUUUUGAAGCUGCUGGGAUUGCUGAUACUAGCUUUCUUUCCCCCAAGCUCAGCUUUACCUCCCCGUCUUGCCAUCACUUCAGCAAUCUUCUUUCCUUUGGACAUCUUGCAGAGCAAGCAUCCUAUCUGUGGUGACAUGGCACAACCAUUCUUGUCCCUGGGUGAAAUCCUGGCAUUUCUGAAAUCAAGGAAACAUCCCCUUUGACUUCAGCAUCAUCAGGAUUUCCACCACGUACGUGUUCCAGUGCUGUAUUCUUUCAGGUAUUGGACAAAUAUCUCUUAACAACUACUCUUCACACGAACUCCACUUACAAGGCCAGAUUUCCAUAUGCAGACUUCCUUGUUAUGUAAAACCUGAGCUGACUGACUAAAGCCGAGCAUAUAAAUGCCAUCCUGAAUAUUUAUUUCUAGGCCUUUUUUUUUUUUUUGUUUACUUCUGUGUUUCAUUAUAAUGAGAUACAUGGGUUUGUGUAUUGGGAAUUAUAAUUACUUGUGUCCAUAGAGCAGCUCAACGGAGAGUAUAAUUAUUGCUCAAAUAUUGGCUUAAGGCAAGAAUUAGACUAGAAAGUCUGACAUGGUCAUGACUCUUACAUUUUAAUUUGUUCACCUCCUGGUAGCACCUAACAAGAUCACCUAUGCCUGUCCUAAUAUCUCAAUACACAGAGAUUAAACUUCUUCUCCUAUACCCCUUUUUGUGAGGAAGAUAGUCAUACCCGAGAAAGAAGUUCACCUUCCUCACAAACGCACAGAGCUGUCUGAAUUGCCACCUGGUGCAGUACGGGGAUGGCACACAGGGCAGCAGAAAUGUCUCAGGCCACAAAGACAUGACAGACAGUGCUGGGUGGACAGGGAUGGAGGGCAUUCUCAUUUUGGGGAGAAUUCCAGCAAUGUUUUGGGACAAGCUAUGUAUCUGCCACAGCUGGGGAGAUCUAUUCAGGCUGGAGGUGACAUAUCCAUUGCUCAUGAGCUACACGUAGAUUAAGGAUCAGUUGGAUGUGGCCGCUGAGGACUUCUUCAAGACAGGGGCUACAGCAGGGAUGGCCAGAGAGCCUGCACCACAUGCCCUCUGUAGGCACUGUGCAUGCCCAUCUAUUCCCAGAUGCAGCUUGGUCCAGAAUUCAAAAGCACUUUUAGCACAGGAAGACACUGGACUGCCCCUUACUCACCUGUGGAAGAGGAGCAGAGAAAGGCUGCUGCCCAGCACAGGUACCUGCUCCUUUGCUAAUACAACUGUGCACCACUGACACUUCUGGUUUCUUGUAUUUUCUGUCUGUUGCACAGUUUAAUUUCCUGAGAACUCUCAUGCUUCAGUACCACAAAAGUCUCCAGGCUUUAACACAGCAUACCUGGUAAGGUGUUAUGGUUUGUGCUAUAUGUUGGACUAAACCAAAAAAAUCAAGCCCUAUCAAGCAAUAAAAACCUAAAACAUCUCUUCUUUGCCUAUUAUCACUGAAUUCUGGGCCUCCAAGUCACUGAAAAAUAUGUGGUACUCAGGCUUUCCUGGGCUGGAUUACUCUGAGUUUGCAUGAAGAUUUUCCUCCACAGCAGAGGCAUGGCCAUCUCCUCAGAGAUACAUUGCAGGGCAUGUAUGCAGAAGCUUGUUCGGGGAACUACAGACCUAGCUACAAUGCUAGAGUUGGCCAAAAUUUCUCCAUAAGGCCUUGGUAAAGUACAUGAGCCUACACAGAGACGCCCAUCCCGCUCUCCAUGCUACAACUGGGUGAAUAGAGGAGCUGCUUACAAAACAAUAAUAAUUUUCCAGAAAUUUAUCUCCGUUACAGAAAUGCUGGAAGUGGUUAAGAGGUGACUGAGUGAACCAGUUGUAAACAUCAUUCGUUCUGUUUUAAAUGUCUCUUAGUAAUAAAUGUUCACAAACAAGCACAAAUUAAGUUCAUUCUGCAUAUUUUAAAUUCAUUGUACCUGUUUUAUUUAUGUCUUAUGUCUCACUAUAUGAUUUUAAGUGGUUUUAUAAAAUUGCUUUAAAAGAGAUGAUUCUGUAGAAUUUGUAUACACUUGAUAUAUAUCUUUGCAAUGAUUUGGUUUUGUGCAUCCUUUCAUUUACAGAAUAAAGACUGCUUA